rnacentral:rRNA from 1 species
AUAUCAGGAGGAACACCGGUGGCGAAGGCGGUUCUCUGGGAAUAUCCUGACGCUGAGGAGCGAAAGUGUGAGGAGCGAACAGGAUUAGAUACCCUGGUAGUCCACGCCGUAAACGUUGGGCGCUAGGUGUGGGGUCCAUCCCACGGAUUCCGUGCCGCAGCUAACGCAUUAAGCGCCCCGCCUGGGAAGUACGGCCGCAAGGCUAAAACUCAAAGGAAUUGACGGGGGCCCGCACAAGCGGCGGAGCAUGCGGAUUAAUUCGAUGCAACGCGAAGAACCUUACCUGGGUUUGACAUACACCGGAAAGCUGCAGAGAUGUGGCCCCUUUUUGUCGGUGUACAGGUGGUGCAUGGCUGUCGUCGGCUCGUGUCGUGAGAUGUUGGGUUAAGUCCCGCAACGAGCGCAACCCUCGUCCUACGUUGCCAGCACGUCAUGGUGGGGACUCAUAGGAGACUGCCGGGGUCAACUCGGAGGAAGGUGGGGAUGACGUCAAGUCAUCAUGCCCCUUAUGUCCAGGGCUUCACGCAUGCUACAAUGGCCGGUACAAAGGGCUGCGAUCCCGUGAGGGGGAGCGAAUCCCAAAAAGCCGGUCUCAGUUCGGAUUGGGGUCUGCAACUCGACCCCAUGAAGUCGGAGUCGCUAGUAAUCGCAGAUCAGCAACGCUGCGGUGAAUACGUUCCCGGGCCUUGUACACACCGCCCGUCACGUCACGAAAGUCGGCAACACCCGAAGCCGGUGGCUCAACCCUUGUGGAGGGAGCCGUCGAAGGGGGG